rnacentral:rRNA from 1 species
AGUCGAACGGAGUUAUUUUGGCAGAAGCCUUCGGGUGGACGCUGAUAUAACUUAGUGGCGAACGGGUGAGUAACACGUGAGCAACCUGCCCUUCAGAGGGGGACAACAGUUGGAAACGACUGCUGAUACCGCAUAAGACCACGGUGUGGCAUCACACAGAGGUCAAAGGAGAAAUCCGCUGAAGGAUGGGCUCGCGUCCAAUUAGCUAGAUGGUGAGGUAACGGCCCACCAUGGCGACGAUUGGUAGCCGGACUGAGAGGUUGAUCGGCCACAUUGGGACUGAGACACGGCCCAGACUCCUACGGGAGGCAGCAGUGGGGAAUAUUGCACAAUGGAGGAAACUCUGAUGCAGCGACGCCGCGUGAGGGAAGAAGGUCUUCGGAUUGUAAACCUCUGUUGUCAGGGACGAUAAUGACGGUACCUGACGAGGAAGCCACGGCUAACUACGUGCCAGCAGCCGCGGUAAAACGUAGGUGGCAAGCGUUGUCCGGAAUUACUGGGUGUAAAGGGAGCGCAGGCGGGAGAGCAAGUUGGAAGUGAAAUCUGUGGGCUCAACUCACAAAUUGCUUUCAAAACUGUUUUUCUUGAGUGGUGUAGAGGUAGGCGGAAUUCCCGGUGUAGCGGUGGAAUGCGUAGAUAUCGGGAGGAACACCAGUGGCGAAGGCGGCCUACUGGGCACUAACUGACGCUGAGGCUCGAAAGCAUGGGUAGCAAACA